rnacentral:rRNA from 1 species
UAUCUCUGUAGAGUCUGCAUAUCAAUAAGCGGAGGAAAAGAAACUAACUAGGAUUCCCUCAGUAACGGCGAGUGAAGCGGGAAGAGCUCAAAUUUGAAAUCUUCAAGGUUCUACCUUGACGAAUUGUAGUUUAAAGAAGUGUUUUCUGUUAGAUGAGUAGCAAAAGUUCCUUGGAAUGGGACAUCAUAGAGGGUGAGAAUCCCGUAUUUGGUUAUUCAUUCUAGCUUUGUGAUACACUUUCAAAGAGUCGGAUUGUUUGGGAAUGCAGUCCAAAAUGGGUGGUAAAUUUCAUCUAAAGCUAAAUACUUGGCGAGAGACCGAUAGCGAACAAGUACCGUGAGGGAAAGAUGAAAAGAACUUUGAAAAGAGAGUUAAACAGUACGUGAAAUUGUCAAAAGGGAAGCGUUUGACACCAGUGUUGUUUUCUCGAAAAUCAAUUACAAAUGGCUUGAUUUUGUGUUGUAUUGACCUUAUCAAGCUUUCUUCACUUUUUUCGAGUCUUUCUUAAUGCACUUUUGGUUAACAAGUCAACAUCAAUUUCUUUUGUUGUAAAAGAGUAUUCGGAAGGUGGCUUUCUUUUCGGAGAAAGUGUUUAUAGCCCUAUACUUCUACAAUCGGAGAGACUGAGGUCUGCAGCGUAGAUCCUUCGGGGUUAGAUACACUUGUGCUAAGUUGUAGCUUUUCAUAGACAACUUGUUGACUAUGUUUAGUCAUGCGGCUUACUCGCUUGUGCUAUUUUACCUACGCUUAGGAUGUUGACGAGACUGUCGAUCUC